rnacentral:tRNA from 1 species
CACUACGAAGCUUAGAGCGUUAACCUUUUAAGUUAAAGUUAGAGAUGGUUAGUCUCCGUAGUGA